CAGUAGCCACGGGAAUACAGAGGGUGCAAGCGUUAAUCGGAAUUACUGGGCGUAAAGCGCGCGUAGGUGGUUUGUUAAGUUGGAUGUGAAAGCCCCGGGCUCAACCUGGGAACUGCAUCCAAAACUGGCAAGCUAGAGUCUUGUAGAGGGGGGUAGAAUUCCAGGUGUAGCGGUGAAAUGCGUAGAGAUCUGGAGGAAUACCGGUGGCGAAGGCGGCCCCCUGGACAAAGACUGACGCUCAGGUGCGAAAGCGUGGGGAGCAAACAGGAUUAGAUACCCCAGUAGUCCCUGUCUCUUAUAA
rnacentral:rRNA from 1 species